AAACUUGGCCGUUUCCCAGUAGUGACAUUCACUCACAUUCCACCUUUUGUUGAACCUGAAGUUUAAAAAUUAUAACAGUGCAUUGAAUCAUACACGAUGUUGCAACUGAAAUAUACAGGGACGAGGAUGGAUAUAACUUCCGAUAUUUUCCCGAUAUUAGAUACUAUUAUGACGAAAAAAUUCAACGACCACUCAGCUCAUACUAUGAUUAUCCAUUUAGAACAAGAGUAUGGGUUCCUUACAGAGGUUUGAGAGUAUUCUGUGAUUAUAUGCCCUCUGGUUAUCCAUUCGCAAUUCAGAGAACCAGCAAAGUUUCAUAUUUCGAUCACUACGAAACAAAGAAAUAUUUAGCAAUUAACUAGAACAUAAGCGCAUAGGAUUAUAUGCCAAUUAUAUUAUAUUUGUUUAAUAAGAGUUUUAUAAGAAACAACAGAGACAGUUUUAUAAAGAAAAAACAUAUUUGUAAAUAUCUUGUAUUUCAUUUAUAUGAUGUGUAUAAUUUAUAAUGAAUAUAGAGAAAUAAAAAUUUAAUUUUAAA